rnacentral:rRNA from 2 species
GAGUAACACGUGGGCAACCUGCCCUGCAGACUGGGAUAACUCCGGGAAACCGGAGCUAAUACCGGGUAAUACAUCGCACCGCAUGGUGCAAUGUUGAAAGUUGGCUUUCGAGCUAACACUGCAGGAUGGGCCCGCGGCGCAUUAGCUAGUUGGUAAGGUAAUGGCUUACCAAGGCGACGAUGCGUAGCCGACCUGAGAGGGUGAUCGGCCACACUGGGACUGAGACACGGCCCAGACUCCUACGGGAGGCAGCAGUAGGGAAUCUUCCGCAAUGGACGAAAGUCUGACGGAGCAACGCCGCGUGAGUGACGAAGGCCUUCGGGUCGUAAAGCUCUGUUGUUAGGGAAGAACAAGUACCGUUCGAAUAGGGCGGUACCUUGACGGUACCUAACCAGAAAGCCACGGCUAACUACGUGCCAGCAGCCGCGGUAAUACGUAGGUGGCAAGCGUUGUCCGGAAUUAUUGGGCGUAAAGCGCGCGCAGGCGGUCUUUUAAGUCUGAUGUGAAAGCCCACGGCUCAACCGUGGAGGGUCAUUGGAAACUGGAGGACUUGAGUGCAGAAGAGGAGAGUGGAAUUCCACGUGUAGCU